UACGUAGGUGGCGAGCGUUGUCCGGAUUUACUGGGCGUAAAGAGCGCGCAGGCGGCUGGUCAAGUCCGAUGUGAAAGCUCCCGGCUUAACUGGGAAAUUGCAUCGGAAACUGAUCGGCUGGAAGGUGGGAGAGGGUAGCGGAAUUCCCGGUGUAGUGGUGAAAUGCGUAGAUAUCGGGAGGAACACCAGUGGCGAAAGCGGCUACCUGGACGAGGACUGACGCUGAGAUGCGAAAGCGUGGGGAGCAAACAGG
rnacentral:rRNA from 1 species